rnacentral:rRNA from 1 species
UACGAAGGGGGCUAGCGUUGCUCGGAAUCACUGGGCGUAAAGCGCACGUAGGCGGACUUUUAAGUCGGAGGUGAAAUCCUGGAGCUCAACUCCAGAACUGCCUUCGAUACUGAGAGUCUUCGAGUUCGGGAGAGGUGAGUGGAACUGCGAGUGUAGAGGUGAAAUUCGUAGAUAUUCGCAAGAACACCAGUGGCGAAGGCGGCUCACUGGCCCGAUACUGACGCUGAGGUGCGAAAGCGUGGGGAGCAAACAGG